AACUGCGAUAGGGGGACAUCGAGUGGCAUCCACCUUGGGUGCCUGUCCCACCGUCUAAAAAACGGUGGUUAGCAAGGGCCGGGCAAGACCGGUGCCAGCCGCCGCGGUAAUACCGGCGGCUCGAGUGGUGGCCGAUAUUAUUGAGUCUAAAGGGUCCGUAGCCGGCUUUGCAAGUCCCCUGGGAAAUCCAGCGGCUUAACCGUUGGGCUUUCAUGGGAUACUACAUUGCUUGGGACUGGGAGAGGUAGGAGGUACUCGGGGGGUAGGGGUGAAAUCCUGUAAUCCCCCGGGGACCACCGGUGGCGAAGGCGUCCUACCAUAACAGGUCCGACGGUGAGGGACGAAAGCUAGGGGCACGAACCGGAUUAAAUACCCGGGUAGUCCUAGCCGUAAACGAUGCCCGCUAGGUGUCACGGCGGUCGUGAAUCGCCGUGGUGCCGUAUGGAAGCCGCGAAGCGGGCCACUUGGGAAGUACGGCCGCAAGGCUGAAACUUAAAGGAAUUGGCGGGGGAGCAC
rnacentral:rRNA from 1 species